AUCAUUCUGCUGGCUGAUACCUGCACCUAGCUACAAACGACUUCCUAAUUAUCCUUAUAGAAUCACCAGUUUCGAAACAUCAUCACGAUGCCUGGACCUGACGUUAAGUGUUUCUGUUGCCAAGAUGGCAAAGAGUGUGCCUGCGGGGGUGGAGAGUGCUGCAUCACAGGAAAGUGCUGUCAGGAAGGAGAUGGAACUUGCUGUGGAAAAUGUUCAAAUGCUGCAUGCAAGUGUGCCGAUGGCUGCAAAUGUGAAGGUGCCUGUGCCUGUACUAUGGGGAACUGUUCGUGCUAGAUCAUCAAGACCAUUUUCUUUCCGUUAGGGAGAUUGUCAUCUCUUCUGCAAGCUUCCAAGCGGAUUUCAUUUUGUGUAUUUGUGUAUACUAUAUAUCAUUUUUGUAACAUAAUGUACAUUAUUUUUUUAUUAAAAAUAUAUAAAUUACACUUGUAAAAAUUGAUGCAAUUAAGGCAUUUCAAAGAGCUUAAAUUGCAGAAUCACUUACGGGUGCCCCGUGCAUCUUGCUCAUUUUGAAAUUAUUAUUUCAGGAUUUUCCUUUACUACCUCGAAAUUAUAUUAUUUGAACAUUGACAAUAUUCGCUAUAAAAUAUGAUGCUAUAAUU